UACGUAGGGUGCAAGCGUUUGUCCGGAAUUAUUGGGCGUAAAGAGCUCGUAGGCGGUCUGUCGCGUCUGCUGUGAAAACUCGGGGGCUUAACCCCGGGCCUGCAGUGGGUACGGGCAGACUAGAGUGCGGUAGGGGGAGACUGGAAUUCCUGGUGUAGCGGUGAAAUGCGCAGAUAUCAGGAGGAACACCGAUGGCGAAGGCAGGUCUCUGGGCCACUACUGCGUGAGAAGCGAAAGCAUGGGGGAGCGAACAGG
rnacentral:rRNA from 1 species